AGGGCGGGACACGUGGUAUCCUGUCUGAAUAUGGGGGGACCAUCCUCCAAGGCUAAAUACUCCUGACUGACCGAUAGUGAACCAGUACCGUGAGGGAAAGGCGAAAAGAACCCCGGCGAGGGGAGUGAAAAAGAACCUGAAACCGUGUACGUACAAGCAGUGGGAGCACGCUUAGGCGUGUGACUGCGUACCUUUUGUAUAAUGGGUCAGCGACUUAUAUUCUGUAGCAAGGUUAACCGAAUAGGGGAGCCGAAGGGAAACCGAGUCUUAACUGGGCGUUAAGUUGCAGGGUAUAGACCCGAAACCCGGUGAUCUAGCCAUGGGCAGGUUGAAGGUUGGGUAACACUAACUGGAGGACCGAACCGACUAAUGUUGAAAAAUUAGCGGAUGACUUGUGGCUGGGGGUGAAAGGCCAAUCAAACCGGGAGAUAGCUGGUUCUCCCCGAAAGCUAUUUAGGUAGCGCCUCGUGAAUUCAUCUCCGGGGGUAGAGCACUGUUUCGGCAAGGGGGUCAUCCCGACUUACCAACCCGAUGCAAACUGCGAAUACCGGAGAAUGUUAUCACGGGAGACACACGGCGGGUGCUAACGUCCGUCGUGAAGAGGGAAACAACCCAGACCGCCAGCUAAGGUCCCAAAGUCAUGGUUAAGUGGGAAACGAUGUGGGAAGGCCCAGACAGCCAGGAUGUUGGCUUAGAAGCAGCCAUCAUUUAAAGAAAGCGUAAUAGCUCACUGGUCGAGUCGGCCUGCGCGGAAGAUGUAACGGGGCUAAACCAUGCACCGAAGCUGCGGCAGCGACGCUGAUGCGUUGUUGGGUAGGGGAGCGUUCUGUAAGCCUGCGAAGGUGUGCUGUGAGGCAUGCUGGAGGUAUCAGAAGUGCGAAUGCUGACAUAAGUAACGAUAAAGCGGGUGAAAAGCCCGCUCGCCGGAAGACCAAGGGUUCCUGUCCAACGUUAAUCGGGGCAGGGUGAGUCGACCCCUAAGGCGAGGCCGAAAGGCGUAGUCGAUGGGAAACAGGUUAAUAUUCCUGUACUUGGUGUUACUGCGAAGGGGGGACGGAGAAGGCUAUGUUGGCCGGGCGACGGUUGUCCCGGUUUAAGCGUGUAGGCUGGUUUUCCAGGCAAAUCCGGAAAAUCAAGGCUGAGGCGUGAUGACGAGGCACUACGGUGCUGAAGCAACAAAUGCCCUGCUUCCAGGAAAAGCCUCUAAGCAUCAGGUAACAUCAAAUCGUACCCCAAACCGACACAGGUGGUCAGGUAGAGAAUACCAAGGCGCUUGAGAGAACUCGGGUG
rnacentral:rRNA from 1 species